CAACAGCCAAACAAGUAGCACUGUAGCAGUGGUUUUCUUCAAUCUUCGCAGCGACUCAUAAUUGGAAUUUUCAGUAAUGGCGAAGAUUGGCAAGAUAGUGCUUGACUCUGGGCGGCCAGAUCAACGGAGGUGCAACUCACUGGGACGCAACUAACAACCACUCAUCCUCCUAGUGGGCCUACCUCGCCUUGGAUGGAAGCUGAUGUCCCCGG
rnacentral:misc_RNA from 1 species